GCUGGUGUGGCGUGGAUGUUGUGAUUUACGGGCUGCAACGGAGAAUCCAAGGAAAGGGGAGAUUGGAAGUGCGGAGGAAGUUAAGUGAUCAACCUUUUGUAUGUUGUGUUUACAUCUUAUUGUGGAUUGAGUUGAAGGAGCGAUCCUAUGUUUGGGAGGCCCCUGAGUGAAGGAGAUCAUUGAAUUCGUAUUGGGAGAGGACAACACUGUGUACUGUGUUGAUAGUAGUGCCUUGCGUUGGAGAUCGCUGGGAAAGACGGAGAGACUCCGGUGUACGAUAUAUACGCCUGCUGUGGUCUGCCCCCUGCCUUCAUCCAUCUGACACGCCCCGCCAGGACUCUGAGCCCGAAACGGGAAUACACCACGGAUCUUCUUUCACUGAGUGUGUGGAGUGCGGUGAGUGCUGCUAUAUUGAAGUGUACACACGAGAAGAAUUGUAGUGCCUUUGUGGUGUGUGGUGUUUGUCCGUGGUUGUGUCCCCGGUCGUAGGAAGAGGACUGACAGAGAGGAGCAGUGUAUUGGUGGCAACCAUAGUCUUUACCUUAAGUAAGCUGGAGCUUGGACGUGUUGGAGGCGCCUCUGGAGGAGCAACCACCGGCCUUGUGCGUGUCGUCUGUGCUGUCUAUUCGACGAGGGAAGCGAAGGACAACAGCCGAUCCUCCCCUGUGUGCCCCCUUGCCAAGCUGGGUGGGAAGCCCAGUAUUGUUUGCAGUCUCACCUGUAAGGCCCACCAGCCGUCAGUCAUCGACCAAACCCGUAUCUGCUUGGAAUACCGACCUUUGAAUAUCUUCAGUGGUGAGUAGCCAGUUAACAGCCCAGCCCUGUGAAUGCUCACCUGUGUAUUGAAUUCUGUACUUACCUGUGAGCUAGAACCCCUGCACGCUAACAGCCCAGCCCUGCGAAUACUCACCUGUGUAUUGAACUCUGUGCUUACCUGUGAGCUAGAACCCCUGCACGCUAACAGCCCAGCCCUGUGAAUACCCACCCGUGUAUUGAACUCUGUAUUUACCUGAGAGCUAGAACCCCUGAACGCUAACAGCCCAGCCCUGUGAAUACUCACCUGUGUAUUGAACUUUGUACUUACCUGAGAGCUAGAACUCCUGCACGCUAACAGCCCAGCCCUGUGAAUACCCACCUGUGUAUUGAAUG